ACGAUGGAUGUACCUUCUCACAUA
rnacentral:siRNA from 1 species